CGUAGGGUGCGAGCGUUAAUCGGAAUUACUGGGCGUAAAGCGUGCGCAGGCUGUUCUGUAAGUCAGAUGUGAAAUCCCCGAGCUCAACUUGGGAACUGCGUUUGAAACUACAGGACUAGAAUAUGUCAGAGGGGGGUAGAAUUCCACGUGUAGCAGUGAAAUGCGUAGAGAUGUGGAGGAAUACCAAUGGCGAAGGCAGCCCCCUGGGAUAAUAUUGACGCUCAUGCACGAAAGCGUGGGGAGCAAACAGGAUUAGAUACCCUGGUAGUCCACGCCCUAAACGAUGUCUACUAGUUGUUGGUGGAGUAAAAUCCAUGAGUAACGCAGCUAACGCGUGAAGUAGACCGCCUGGGGAGUACGGUUGCAAGAUUA
rnacentral:rRNA from 1 species